GUUGUUGAUAAUUUGGUUGCUGGUGACGACGAUGCCGGAAUCGAUUGCAUAAGUUUUCUUGUUCGUGGGCUCUGAGGCAGAAGACCCAGACCUCUCUAAGUUGUAACUUGUAAGUAUACGUCUGGGAACCUAUCUCGUGUUUAAGCUCUGAUUAUUAAAGAAAUAAGUUUGAUAUUGGGUUUUUGAAUUUGGCUUUUGGUUUUUGGCGAUGACGGGAAACUGGAACUUAAUUAAUUGGGUUGAGAAGCAAUAUAAGGAUUUUCCAUUAAGUCAGAAUUGAGAAGGAUGGAGAGCGUUGGACGAUGAAGGUAAACAGAGAAGGAAACAGAAAAAGAGUAGAGAAAUGUUCAGUGGCUUUGGUCCAGCAACGCAGCAGGAAGAAAGAGUUUCAAAUAAAGAAUUUAUAAGGUAAGUGGGAGAUCACUUUGGAAAAUUAUUGUUGGACUUGAUUAUAUGUGGCAUGGGUAUAUAUUGGUGAAAGUAUUACUAGGCUACUGUAAGUAU
rnacentral:lncRNA from 1 species